CUCUUCCAAGCAUUGGGCCUGCAGAAAUAAGCUCCACAUUGCAAAGCUCCCUGUGAGUCACCGGUAGGUUAGAGAAAGAUAUGCCAGAUAGAAUUAAAGUCAAAGCUUUAACCUCGAUGAGACAAUCCCCAAGAGACCAUGCUAACAGCAUCUCUCUAUCUGAAGAAAGCAUCAGCUCGGCUAGCAACCUCACAUAGGCUUCGAUGAUUGACAAUGAACCACUGGUAGGAGGUCGU
rnacentral:lncRNA from 1 species